GGGAUUGCCCUAGUAACGGCGAGUGAAGCGGCAACAGCUCAAAUUUGAAAUCUGUCCCUAGCGGUCCGAGUUGUAAUUUGUAGAGGAUGCUUUUGGUGAGGUGCCUUCUGAGUUCCCUGGAACGGGACGCCAGAGAGGGUGAGAGCCCCGUACGGUCGGCCGCCAAACCUAUAUAUAGCUCCUUCGACGAGUCGAGUAGUUUGGGAAUGCUGCUCUAAAUGGGAGGUAAAUUUCUUCUAAAGCUAAAUACCGGCCAGAGACCGAUAGCGCACAAGUAGAGUGAUCGAAAGAUGAAAAGCACUUUGAAAAGAGGGUUAAAUAGCACGUGAAAUUGUUGAAAGGGAAGCGUUUGCGACCAGACUUUUUCCUGGCGGAUCAUCCGGUGUUCUCACCGGUGCACUUCGCCAGGUUUAGGCCAGCAUCGGUUUCUUUAGGGGGAUAAAGGCCUGGGGAACGUAGCUCUUUAGGGAGUGUUAUAGCCCCUGGCGCAAUACCCUUCGGGGGACCGAGGAUCGCGCUCUGCAAGGAUGCUGGCGUAAUGGUCGUCAACGACCCGUCUUGAAACACGGACCAAGGAGUCGAACAUUUGUGCGAGUGUUUGGGUGUCAAACCCUCACGCGUAAUGAAAGUGAACGGAGGUGAGAGCCCUAGGGUGCAUCAUCGACCGAUCCUGAUGUCUUCGGAUGGAUUUGAGUAAGAGCAUAACUGUUCGGACCCGAAAGAUGGUGAACUAUGCGUGGAUAGGGUGAAGCCAGAGGAAACUCUGGUGGAGGCUCGCAGCGGUUCUGACGUGCAAAUCGAUCGUCAAAUCUGCGCAUGGGGGCGAAAGACUUAUCGAA
rnacentral:rRNA from 1 species